UAAGGGACUGGGUUUGCUAAGUGGCAACAAGAUGCCUUCAGAAGGACCCAGAUUGCCUGCAGUGUGGGGCGGGGACCUGAGAAACAAGGCAAGGAAGGGCAACUACUCUCCCAAAGACGGAGGCUGCAUGAUAGCCUUUACCAAAAAAAAGAAAAAAGAAAAAAGAAAAGAAAAGAAAAAAAGAAAAAGAAAAAAAUCCAUCUUGCGACGAAUUCCAGAAAAACAAAUCUGAUGGAGAGAAAUCUGGUGAGAGUACAAAGCCAUCCCUUACCCAAUUCAGAAGGACACAUCCCAGUCACAGGAUGUUUUCAGUGCCCCCCCCCCCCACCACCACUUCUUCCAGACUGCAGGUCCAGGGCAAAGCCCUGACAGGAUUCACCCUGACGAUUGGGUCUAAAUCCACCAAGACAGUCAAUUUUGGCAUUCGUUCUCCCUUAGGAAUUUUACUAGCUGCUGUAGAAAAGCACAUAAAUUACUCCCCCUCCCUCUUUUUUUCCAUGCCUUCUCCUUCAUCCCCCAGCACCCCCUCCCCGUCCAUCUUGAUGUCAUUUCAAAGAGAAGGAUGAAAAGAAGGAAAAGAAGGGAUUUGUCAGGCAGUCCAGUCUGUGAGUAUGUCUUGCCAGGCCCCAACUCACACCACACAGGCACACGCGCACGCACGCACACACACACUCUACACACACACACGUGCGCGUGCACACACACACACACCAGCUGAGAAUGUUAAUAAGAAUUAAAAGCAAGUCAGUGUUAUUAAAGCAUCAAAUUUGAAGAGUUGAAAGGGGAGGGGGACUUGGAGAAAGAGAGGGGGCAGGGUUGGAGGGGGAGUGGGAAUGAAAUACAAUUCGGUCCUUGAAGCUGAGAAGGAAAGAGGUGUCAGUAGCCCCAUUUGGUCUGCUUGUCAAAUGUCAAAUGUCAAAUUCAUUGGUCUCUCCUUUUAAACUACUCCCUCUCUCACUGCCCCGCCCCAACAGUCAAGUUUUGUGAGGUUCCCAAGUGUGAUUAAUCUUUGGCAGAGGCCAGAAACAGGAGUAGGCUUCUUGGCUGCCUGUCCUGAUAAACAAUCUGUUCUUGGGAAGAGUAGGUGAAGGGGACUGCGGGAGGUAAUCUGCGGGCAUGGGAGAGGGGGUAGGAAUAAAGGGGGGGGGGGUAAACCACAGCAAGACCUGCCCUCGGGGAGAAAUGCCAGUGCCCCUCCUCCCGCACCCGUGGUUUAGGGGUAGGUCAGGUUUCCUGCCCUUAAUAAGUGAGUAGACAGUGGAUCCUUUCUUGCUGCCAGUCCCUAAAGUCCAGGGCGCGUCACUGGGCCACCGAAGGCUCUAAGGAGGGGAAGAGAGCAGAGCCGGUGCACCACGCGGUUUCGGACCAUCUACAAAGCUGUGCUCUAGGCGCCACAUCCCAUCCCCCAGGGUGUGCGCGGAACCUGCUCGCGAUAAAGGAAACAGAGGCAGUGGCAGAGAAAGCCGAGUUGGGGCGGCUGCUAUAGAGCUUAUUAUAAAGCAUAACGGGGAAAGUCAGACUGUGGGCAAAACAAAAGGAGAGACUAUCUGGCGGAGUCCGAGGUCGCUAGGAUCGAAACUCCCGAGGCAAGAAAGCUGGCUGUGGAUUUUGCAGCGGGGAUAUUGUGUGAGCAACCAGGCAGAAAUUGGCAAUAUGUAAAAGUGGGAAGGGGGAAGAGAGUGGGCGGAAAGGCAAAUCAGUGCCUAGAAGGCUGCGCACGGCUGGGAAAUGUCACCAAGGAGAGCGCAGUGGCACCGAAUAAAAGAUGAAUGAUAGACUACCUUUUGGAAAACGAAUAUAAAAAUAGUAAUGAAGGUGAGAAGUCCGCCUCUUCGCUGGAAAGCGGAACCAUUCCUCACUGUUUGCCUUCAAGCCCCAACAUCCAGGCAGCUCUAAUCUCCCCUAUAUCCAAGAAGUCAGGGCUAGGCUCGCUUUCCUUCGGAUUUAAUUACACGAAAAUGCUGAACAAAACCCUGUAAUUACACCCUUAGUCCCUGCCACUCAGGCCCUGCGCACUUCCUGCCUUUUUUUUUUUUUUAAAGAGGGGUCACUGCCUCUUUCUUUCCAAAUUGGCCAAAACAAAAAACCUAAAAGCACCAAAUAAAUCUUUAACAGCUUUGAGUCUUCAUGGUCAUUCCCCCAACACCACACACACACACACACACACACACACACACAGAGAGAGAGAGAGAGAGAGAGAGAGAGAGAGAGAGAGAGAGAGAGAGAGCGCCAGCAAGCAAGAACUAAGGAGGGGGAGCCCUUGACUCUUGGAGAGUCCAGAAGGAAGGGCCCAACUGUUCUAUAUUGUCUUGCUCCAGCUCCUAAGCUGAGAAGCAGUCCUUCCUUAUUUUGUCUGUUACUCCAGUACAAGGUGCUAGGCUGGUCACCUCGAGGAAACCUGCCAAGGACAAGACAAAGAGUGCGGACAGGGUGUAGCAUCAGGCCUGGCUUUUCUCUUUCACCUGGAAGGGUUGCUCGCUGGAGGAGAUCUGGGUCAGGAUUGGCCUUUUUACAGGCCCUCCAGGCCUCGGCAUUACAGACAGGAGCUCACAGGGAUGCUCUGAGGGCAGAACAUAAUUUAAGAUGGACAGGUGAGAAACCAAAGCUCAAGAGAAUAAACAGAUUGCUCGGGGAGUCAGUCAUGUUGCUGCACGAAGUCUUGAAUGAGUGUUGCUGCCUCUUCCGGCUUUUGGGGCUACUGCAUCAGGAAACUAGGACACCUAGGAGCAAUGGAAGCUGACUCCAUUCUGGGCUUAAGAUUCCUAGCACUGAGACAGAAAGAGUUAAGAACCAGGCCUGGUGGUACAGAUCUAUUAGUCCACAGUCACCGUGGAAGAAGGCGAGGCAGAAAGACCACACAUUCAAAACCUGUCUGGGCUACAGAAUUAGUUCAGGACAAGUCCGAACAACUUAUAAGGACCCAAUGUAAAAAGGAAAAGAGGCUGGAGAGAGGGCACUACUCAGCAUGCUCCAGGCCCUAGGUGCUAUCCAUGGCUAGGGGCAGUGCUCUCUAGGUAAAUCAUUGACUAAUUGAAUAGAGGGCAGGGGGCUAACAUGCUACAAACCUCCGGGCUUGGGGCAGCCACAUUUCAACACACUUAAGUAAGAACAAAGUUACAUUCAAUGUAACUUUUGGGUCUGGAAAGAGACCUUUCCCACUAUGUGUUGCCAAUCUGUGUUUCUUCUUUUCCUCCUUUCUUACUGUUUUUUUAAUUUAUUUAUUUUUAUUUUUAUGCCUAUGAGUACACUGUAUCUGUCUUCAGACAUACCAGAAGAGGGCAUCGGAUCCCAUUACAGACAGUUGGGAGCCACCAUGUGGUUGCUGGGAAUUGAACUCAGAACCUCUGGAAGAGCAGUCAGUGCCCUGAACUGUUAAGCCAUCUCUCCAGCCCUCCUUCCUACUCUUUUUCCCUUCAGUGCUGGGGAUCCAAGUCAAGGCCCUCCCUGCACGGGCUUGGGAAGGCUUUACCACUGAGUUGCUUUCCCUGGUCCCAGACUCAAACAUUUCAAGACUGUCUUGAGGGCGACGGGAGAGCUUCCUCAGCCUUUCAGCAAGGUCGAGAGAACUUCGGAUUUUCCUUUAUCACCCCUGCCCGGGGGACAGGGCUAGGUAUCCAAAGAAGUAAGAGAAAGGUAUCUGGGGACUGCCAGGAAAGGGCGGUAACUCACAGUUGCUCAGAGCUCUAGCGUGAUUGAUUUUUAACUCCAAAACAAGUGGUGCUCAUUGUCACCCUACCUGUCAACCUACAGAGACAGUGGGACCAUUGACCAGUAAAGUCCUGUGGGCAGAGGGCUUUACUUCUUGUUUAAGCUUCCUAGAAGAAUCUGGGACACCCCCACCCCACCCCAAAGGGCCUGUUUUUGCUAACUUCGGACUACCUCGGCUCAGCUUCCCUCACCUGUACAAAGGCUGACGAAAAUAACACUCACCUCAGAGGCUUGUGUGGAGGUCGGUGAGAUAAUGUCUGGAAAUGCACUUUUGGAGCCCUUGACAAAUGUUGGUUAUUGGUAAUAAUCUCUCACCUUUUAUUAAACACACUAUAAUACGCUGUCAUCCACAUAGACCAAUGAAACCUGCAAAGGAAGUGGAGUAAUAAUUCCACUUUUACUCAGAACAUGAAGUGCAAAUGAUUUGCUCAAGGUCAGCCAAGUCCAAGGUGAACGGCAUAAUGUAAAUAUGUACCAAGUACCGCCCCUUCUCUCCCUCCUUUCCUCCCUCUCACCCCCCCUCCCCCGAGUUCCAGGUUGAACUACUCAGCACAGGCAAGCCCAUACAUAGACCAUGGACCCAAUUCAAGGAAAGCAAUGAGGACUGCCCUGUACCAGUCUUGACCCAGGAACAGUGAAGACCUGGGAGGAGCUUCCUGCUCGGUGGGUGAGCACACUUUCUGGCUGCCCAAGCAGAAAAGUGCCUGCGGCCAUGGCUCUCCGAGUCUGGCUUGUGGAAAUCCCAAGAUCAUUGUAGACUGAUGGGAAGCUCCCUUUAAGGCCCAGGUUCACAGAUGAAGUAGAGGGCCAAGGGUAGGCACACCUGUGGUCUUCGUGGCCACACUGACCACCGCGACAGGUCCCGCCUACUCGAAACCUUUCUUCCUCUCAAGUUUCCUUGUUGGGGGUUUGAGAAUUUGUCACAACUGAAUCAGUGAAUAGCACCCUUGUCUGGCUCUUACACCCUCUUCCUCUAGGCCCGGUUCCCUGGACAGCUCAUUCCAAGCUUUUUUUUUUUUUUUUUUUUUUUGAAGUAAGGAAACACACCAGCUUUUGCUGAGAGCAGCGCUGGCCUCCCCCAAGCUCUGGCACGGUGGCAAGAAGUGGAUGCCUGCCGGGUGGCAGGAACUAGACUCGACUACCCCCUCUCCUGAGCCUUUUUUCCCCUCCCUGAUCUCCGCCCCUCCAGGAAGAAAACAGCCUGAGACCGGAUCGGUUUUUCGGCCACUGUGCCAACCCCAACCACUAUGCCCGCCCGCCCGCCCGCCCUUGCCUUCUCCCCAAUUUCGCUCUGAGUGCCCGACUUGCCCAUGCGCCCGAGGCUGGGCAGGUCUCGGCGGGCGGUGCAGGCUCAGCUCCCCAGGGCUUCUCAGCGAAUCACGUUGUUCCUGGGAUUUCAUGCUCUAGUGGCUCUUGUGUAACCCUAUGCCCUGGCCUAACUCAAUACUUUUUUUUUUUUUAAUACCAGGAUUAAUCCUUUAGGGAAAGGCGAAUACUUCCGCCACGGAUCCGACUGAGGAGUAAAUGUGUAAAUCACACAGCAGCCUCCAGCCCCCACAGCCCCUUUGCGCGGGGUUUGCAAGGCUCAGUAACCGGCCGCACCCCUGGGGUUACUGGCGCGAGGCGAUUCCUGGCCUCGCUAAGGCCAAAGGAGGGCCCAGCCCACACGUUUGUUUUCAUCUACUCCUUAGCGGCUCGCAGGCCAAAGAACAGGGCACUGCUUACUGCCGGGCUGUGUGUUACCAAAAAAGGCCUUUCUCUCUGCAGAGCGCUUGGCGGCGCGCUUUGCAGCGGGGUGACGCGAGGUUCAGUCUCGGCCUCGAGAGUCAGCAAGCCAAGAGCACCCCUGACCCCGCCCCAUUUGAGUUCCAAAUUGUGGGGGCCUUGGAGGGCGGGCCGGAGUCGCCGGAUGCAUAGAAGUGCUUAAGAUCCUGACAACCCUUCACACGCCUAACACUGGGCUACGUUGUUCUGCAGAGGCCAAGUGGAAAGCUGACCUUUUGCUCCAGUUUAGACAGCAAGCUGAGGAAGAAAGAUAGCCAUUAAGAUGGAACUUUGCUUCAUGGGGUUAGGGCUAACACUUUGUACCUUGCUCUGCAAGUCUCUGCAGUGGGUGCGCCCCAGAACAUAGCGCCAGAGCUCUGCGUCUCGGCUCCUCCAUUUCUCACCUCACUUGAUCAGUGCUCCUCAAGAGAUCACAGCACUCCUGCAGGAGCCGAGGAAUGUAUUUCCAAACACUGGAAUUCGCACCUCCCCAAUUGCUGAUGCAUCCCCAAACAGGGCCUUCUGAGACAAGCAGUUAAGAAGCAAUUUAUCACCAAGAACGAUGGUGAUACUUUUUGAGGGGGUAUGGAGAGUUGUGAUUUUUAAAUAAAAGGAUUAUGGGACUGUGGGCUGUAAUGGGAUUGUUUAAAUGCAUGCUGAUGGCUAGCUCGCUAUGUUCACAAAUACCUCGUUUUUGGUGUGUGUGUGUGUGUGUAUGUGUGUGUGUGUGUGUGUGUGUGUGUGUGUGUGUGUGUUUGGUAAAAGAAAGAAACAAGGAGAUAGGAACUUAUGUGUCUGUUUGUACCAAAUGUAACAUCGUGACAUGGAAUUCAACUUGCUUUUUCUAGCUGCCUGGCUGGAGGGUUAUAGUUAAGUUGUUAUUUCUAAAGUAUUUUUGGUUUAAUAAAGAGAAAGAGAAAUAAUGUAAAGAAAUGGGUCAUCCACCAAGCCAAAGUUCAUGAGUCCCGGGCUGGGAGGGAUUGAUUGUUUUGACUCACUCAAGGGUAUCUGUGAGUAGGGUGAGGUCUAAGGGUGCGGAGACACUCACUGAGAAGCUCUACACACAGGACUCUGCUCCAAGGCAGCCAGGGUGCGGAGAGGAGACACUCACUGAGAAGCUCUACACACAGGACUCUGCUCCAAGCCAGCCAGGCAAAGUUUAUUAUUGCCCUGGAGCACACAGUGAGCUCACUGUUUUUGCAAAAACAGAAACUGGGUUGCUCUGAGAUGAAAGAACGACUCCCUAUGUGCUCCCUUCUCCACGAAAGCUCCACCUGCCUUUGCACUUAGAACCCAGGAUGAAGAUCUCCAUGCUGGGAAAACGCCAAACAGCUUCUGGAGAUCAAAUGUCAAAAUAAAAGUAUUUGUUGUUGCUUCA